rfam:Serratia marcescens subsp. marcescens Db11, complete genome
GAAGGCACGACAUUGCUCACAUUGCUUCCAGUGUUUUUUAAGCCAGCUCGGGUGCUGGCUUUUUUUU